rnacentral:rRNA from 1 species
UACGUAGGCAGCGAGCGUUGUUCGGAAUUACUGGGCGUAAAGAGUGUGUAGGCGGUGCUCUAAGUUCGGUGUGAAAUCUCCCGGCUUAACUGGGAGGGUGCGCCGGAAACUGGAGUGCUCGAGCGUGGGAGAGGAAAGGCGGAAUUCCUGGUGUAGCGGUGAAAUGCGUAGAUAUCAGGAGGAACACCUGCGGUGUAGACGGCUUUCUGGACCAUUGCUGACGCUGAGACACGAAAGCGUGGGUAGCAAACAGG